AAAAGGUUCAAAGUCAAAUUCAUCUUUCUUCAGACUGAGCUUUGGAUCUGAAAUGCAGGGACAACAGAUCAAUUCUCUCUCUCUUGUGGCUUCUUCUACUUUGGACUCUCCAUGACUGUGAAUGGAGUUUGGGUCAGAGCUUGAUGGUUACAGGAGAAGGACUGAGGGGUUUUAGUCUUGCUGGGGAAAAGACUGAACUUGGGAGGAAUGGAAACCCUCAGUGUUUUGACACAGUGGAUAAUGAGUACUGAAAACAAUCCACUGUGAAUGAACCCUUGUGACAACUUGAAAUAAAAGCAGACGGAGUCUGGCUCUGUCGCCAGCCUGGAGUGCAGCAGUGUGAUCUCGGCUCACUGCAACCUCUGCCUCCCGGGUUCAAAUGAUUCUCCUGUCUCAGCAUCCUGAGAAGCUGGGAUUAC
rnacentral:lncRNA from 1 species